CAAGAACGUCUGUUGAUUGUGAUUGUGUUGAGGUUAAACACUUCUUGACCUCAUGACGUCGCAUCACUGCCGUUUGUUACGGAGAAAUAUCUUGCUUCCCGAGAAGAAUCGAAAAUCUAUGUAAUAUGAGGAACUACUCUCUCACUAUCUCUCCUUCUCUUGCACGCAUCACCAAGUACUUUUGCAGUUCCACAUGUAAUCUGGACGCAGCAGUCUCUAAAAGUGAACAUGUUGCGCCGGAGUUGAUACCUAGCACUGCUUCUUCAAAUGGCAGAGUGAUGCUUAUUGAUGGGACAUCCAUUAUGUAUAGGGCUUACUAUAAGCUUCUAGGUUGAAUCAUGGUCAUCUGACUCACGCUGAUGGAAACGCCGACUGCGUUUUAACUUUAUUUUCAGCUCUUUCUCUUAUCAUUGAUGUUCUGAAAUUCCUCCCAUCCCAUGUGGCGGUGGUGUUCGACCAUGAUGGAGUUGCUUAUGGAAGUACUUCUAAUUCAUCAAAUGGUUAUAAUUCUUCAAAAGGUAAGCUCCACGUCCAUAGUCAAAUUUAAGUUAAUGAUGUUGGUUGGAUCUGUUGACAGCAUAAAAUGGGGUAUUUUUGCAUGAGAGUUAUAAGGUAGUAUGCUGACUCGAUGAUGAUGAAUGUAAUAUUAUCUCCAAGAUGCCUUUGGUGGCGGUGUCAUUAGGCGCUAGUGAGGCUCCAUAAGGUGUCUGGAUACUCGGAUCAUAAAAAGAAUAUCAUCUCAAAUUAAUACACAUUACACAAGCCCUGGCAUGAACUUCCGCCAUACUUUCUACCCUGCAUAGGGGACUACGCAGAAGGAUUCCCAGCUCAUCCAGUCAUCAGAG